AUAGAUGUGGCUCAGUGGUAGAGUCCCUGCUUAGCAAGCAUGAGGUCCUGAGUUCACAUCUCAGUACCUCCA
rnacentral:tRNA from 1 species